AACGAACGCUGGCGGCAUGCCUAACACAUGCAAGUCGAACGAGACCUUCGGGUCUAGUGGCGCACGGGUGCGUAACGCGUGGGAACCUGCCCUUAGGUUCGGAAUACCUCCCCGAAAGGGGUGCUAAUACCGGAUAAUGUCUUCGGACCAAAGAUUUAUCGCCUUUGGAUGGGCCCGCGUUGGAUUAGCUAGUUGGUAGGGUAAAAGCCUACCAAGGCGACGAUCCAUAGCUGGUCUGAGAGGAUGAUCAGCCACACUGGGACUGAGACACGGCCCAGACUCCUACGGGAGGCAGCAGUGGGGAAUAUUGGACAAUGGGCGAAAGCCUGAGCCAGCAAUGCCGCGUGAGUGAUGAAGGCCUUAGGGUUGUAAAGCUCUUUUACCCGGGAUGAUAAUGACAGUACCGGGAGAAUAAGCUCCGGCUAACUCCGUG
rnacentral:rRNA from 1 species